UGGGGAAUAUUGCACAAUGGGCGCAAGCCUGAUGCAGCCAUGCCGCGUGUAUGAAGAGGCCUUCAGGGUUGUAAAGUACUUUCAGCGAGGAGGAAGGCAUUAAGGUUAAUAACCUUGGUGAUUGACGUUACUCGCAGAAGAAGCACCGGCUAACUCCGUGCCAGCAGCCGCGGUAAUACGGAAGGGUGCAAGCGUUAAAUCGGAAUUACUGGGCGUAAAGCGCACGCAGGCGGUCUGUCAAGUCGGAUGUGAAAUCCCGGGCUCAACCUGGGAACUGCAUCCGAAACUGGCAGGCUAGAGUCUUGUAGAGGGGU
rnacentral:rRNA from 1 species